AACGAACGCUGGUGGCGUGCUUAACACAUGCAAGUCGAACGAGAAAAUUUCCUUCGGGGAACUAGUAAAGUGGCGCAAGGGUGAGUAACACGUGAAUAAUCUGCCCUCGAGAUCGGGAUAACAUGGUGAAAACUAUGCUAAUACCGGAUAAGACCACAUUUCAAAAGAAAUGCGGGAAAAGGAGUCUCAACCUUCACUCGAGGAUGAGUUCGCGCAACAUUAGCUUGUUGGUGGGAUAAAAGCUCACCAAGGCUACGAUGUUUAGCCGGCCUGAGAGGGUGAUCGGCCACACUGGAACUGAGACACUGCCCAGACUCCUACGGGAGGCUGCAGUCGAGAAUCUUCCGCAAUGCGCGCAAGCGUGACGGAGCGACGCCGCGUGGGUGAUG
rnacentral:rRNA from 1 species